AGCUCCAAUAGCGUAUAUUAAAGUUGUUGCAGUUAAAAAGCUCGUAGUUGAAUUUCUGAUAGAAGGGAGCGGUUCCGCAUUCUUGCGGAUACUGGCUCGUCUUCCGUCAUCCUUGGGCUUAGUCUCGCUGAUAUUAACUUAUCGGCGUGUUCGAUGCCCCUCGUUUACUGUGAGCAAAUUAGAGUGUUCAAAGCAGGCAUUUUGCCAUUGAAUAUAUUAGCAUGGAAUAAUAAGAUAGGAUUUCACGAUUUUAUUUUGUUGGUUUGCGUUGUGAAAUAAUGAUUAAGAGGGACAGUUGUGGGUAUUCGUAUUCAGAUGUCAGAGGUGAAAUUCUUAGAUUAUCGGAAGACGAACGACUGCGAAAGCAUUUACCAAGGAUGUUUUCA
rnacentral:rRNA from 1 species